rnacentral:lncRNA from 1 species
CAAAAAGUUUCAUUUAGGAUACAGAAUUCACACAUGCUUUAGUGGGGAUGACAAGAGAGCUAGUUAGGUACAACAGGAAAAGUUAUCUCUGAAGAGCAAGUGGUCCUUUUGUAAACUGAGGGGAAAAAAAUGAGUUCUUUGAGUUAAAUCUUUAAAAAAUACAAAAGGUACUUGCAUGAAUACAGGAGAUCAGGGGAAAAGCCUCCCAAACUGAAACAGGCAUGCAAACACAGAAGGAUCAAACAAUGGAGUGUGCUGAGGACUCUUAAGGACAUUGAGGACUCUAAAGGACAUGUUGAUGAUUUGGAGCCCCGUGUAGGCCUU